UGUCGGGUCACGUUCCAGCCACGCAUGCGGGACGGGACGGGACGCGGCGGUGGCGGCCGCACGAUCGGCCAUUCCGCACCGGUCCUUGGCUCGCUGCCGUACAGUGCGCGCCAACACUUCGCCCGGCGUUAACUUGCUCCGGCUCCUGCGGACCGAGUCAGGCGUGCGGCUCAAAAGUCCGAAGCGACCGAAAGCGGGCUCUGUCGCCCACCCCCUUUGCGCCGACGCGGGGGGAGGUUGCCGAAAGUAACGCGCCGAAGCGUCGCUUGAGAACGACAACGGGUCUACGCCGAAGAAACGGCCGCAUCGAAAUAGUUACGAGGUUUUUAUACACGUACGACAUUUGGGACGACGCGAUGACGAAUUGACGGUUCGCGUAAGCUGUUUUUAGAGGAGUGAUUUCAUCAAGUUGUUGAAAAGGCAUUUCGUUGACAAAAAAAAUUAUCGCAAAAAGGGCUUCGAGACUUCGAGUAACGAUGCAGGUUCCUAGCUCGGAGCUGAAGCAUCGUCUGUCGCGAAGACCAGACUACUUGGACGGGUGGAGGCGAUGGGAGGACCGUACCAACGUCGUCUAUGCAUUCCGAUUGACUUUGUUUCACAGGGCGACUUUUAAAAUUAAUAUCACUUCUGGUGUGUUUAUGCAGCUAAUGAGGAUCGUGUUGAAAUGUUUGCUUUACAUUUUAACCCCUGUACUUGCUUUUCUGGCUGUAAUUUACGAUACAAUUCACUGUUAAUACCGGCGUGUAAACAAAGUACGUUGAGAUUCUCAUUGACUUAUUAAAUGGUCGAUUUUAUCAUAUCUGUUUUAACUAUUAAUGGUGAUGUUUUUAAUUCAAAUCAUGAAUAUGUUCUGUUAAUCAAUUUAUCGUUGCAUGUUUUGUUUUUACAAUUUAAUAUGAAUGCAUAUGUGGAGUGGUGAAAGAACAACAUAACCGCUGAUAUUAGUAGUGAUCAUAAUGUGACGAACGGGCUUCAUUUUAAUACAAUGGCUCUAUUGAACAAAGCAAAUUGCAUCACUGUAUUUAUUUAGUAUUUCAAUAAAUGACCCUUUAAGCAACGUACAGUU